GACGAACCGUGCGAACGUUGUUCGGAAUCACUGGGCUUAAAGGGCGCGUAGGCGGUUCAUCAAGUCAGGGGUGAAAUCUUUCGGCUUAACCGGAAAAGUGCCCCUGAUACUGAUGAUCUCGAGGGAGGUAGGGGCCUGUGGAACUUCUGGUGGAGCGGUGAAAUGCGUUGAUAUCAGAAGGAACGCCGGUGGCGAAAGCGACGGGCUGGACCUCUUCUGACGCUGAGGCGCGAAAGCUAGGGGAGCAAACGGG
rnacentral:rRNA from 1 species